GGAGGGUUCGCCUAGCGGUCUAUGGCGCGCGCUUGGAAAGCGCGUUUGGCGCAAGCCAUCGUGAGUUCGAAUCUCACACCCUCCG
rnacentral:tRNA from 1 species